rnacentral:rRNA from 1 species
CCUACGGGUGGCUGCAGUGGGGAAUAUUGCACAAUGGGCGCAAGCCUGAUGCAGCCAUGCCGCGUGUGUGAAGAAGGCCUUCGGGUUGUAAAGCACUUUCAGCGGGGAGGAAGGCGGUGAGGUUAAUAACCUCAUCGAUUGACGUUACCCGCAGAAGAAGCACCGGCUAACUCCGUGCCAGCAGCCGCGGUAAUACGGAGGGUGCAAGUGUUAAUCGGAAUUACUGGGCGUAAAGCGCACGCAGGCGGUCUGUCAAGUCGGAUGUGAAAUCCCCGGGCUCAACCUGGGAACUGCAUCGAAACUGGCAGGCUAGAGUCUUGUAGAGGGGGGUAGAAUUCCAGGUGUAGCGGUGAAAUGCGUAGAGAUCUGGAGGAAUACCGGUGGCGAAGGCGGCCCCCUGGACAAAGACUGACGCUCAGGUGCGAAAGCGUGGGGAGCAAACAGGAUUAGAUACCCCUGUAGUC